rnacentral:rRNA from 1 species
AUUGAACGCUGGCGGCGUGCUUAACACAUGCAAGUCGAUCGGUAACAGGUGUAGCAAUACAUGCUGACGAGAGGCGGACGGGUGAGUAAUGCUUGGGAAUCUGCCUAUUAGUGGGGGACAACCCGGGAAACGUCGGGCUAAUACCGCAUACGCUCUACGGAGGAAAGCCGGGGACCGCAAGGCCUGGCGCUAAUAGAUGAGCCCAAGUCGGAUUAGCUAGUUGGUAGGGUAACGGCCUACCAAGGCGACAAUCCGUAGCUGGUCUGAGAGGACGACCAGCCACACCGGAACUGAGACACGGUCCGGACUCCUACGGGAGGCAGCAGUGGGGAAUAUUGGACAAUGGGGGCAACCCUGAUCCAGCGACGCCGCGUGGGUGAAGAAGGCCUGCGGGUUGUAAAGCCCUUUCGGUGGGGAAGAAAAGUCUCGACCUAAUACGUCGGGACCUUGACGUAA